rnacentral:rRNA from 1 species
AUUGAACGCUGGCGGCAUGCCUUACACAUGCAAGUCGAACGGCAGCACGGGGCAACCUGGUGGCGAGUGGCGAACGGGUGAGUAAUGCAUCGGAACGUACCUUUCAGUGGGGGAUAACGUAGCGAAAGUUACGCUAAUACCGCAUAUUCUGUGAGCAGGAAAGCAGGGGAUCGCAAGACCUUGCGCUGAUUGAGCGGCCGAUGUCAGAUUAGCUAGUUGGUGAGGUAAAGGCUCACCAAGGCGACGAUCUGUAGCGGGUCUGAGAGGAUGAUCCGCCAAACUGGAACUGAGAAACGGUCCAGACGCCUACGGGAGGCAGCAGUGGGGAAUUUUGGACAAUGGGGGCAACCCUGAUCCAGCCAUGCCGCGUGAGUGAAGAAGGCCUUCGGGUUGUAAAGCUCUUUCGGCCGGGAAGAAAUCGCACGGGCUAAUACCCUGUGUGGAUGACGGUACCGGAAUAAGAAGCACCGGCUAACUACGUGCCAGCAGCCGCAGUAAGAC